rnacentral:rRNA from 1 species
CUCAUUCGGAUUGGAGUCUGCAACUCGACUCCAUGAAGCUGGAUUCGCUGUAAUCGCGCAUCAGCCAUGGCGCGGUGAAUACGUUCCCGGGCCUUGUACACACCGCCCGUCAAGCCAUGGGAGCCGGGGGUGCCUGAAGUACGUGACCGCGAGGAGCGUCCUAGGGCAAAACUGGUGACUGGGGCUAAGUCGUAACAAGGUACC